GGGUGCGGCGAGCCCUCCUCCUCCUCCCUGAGGGUGCGCCAGAAUACCGCGGGCCCCUCCUCCUCCCGGGCCCGAGGACAAGAGACGGCGGGCCCCUCCUCCUCCCUGGGCCCGCCGUUUUG
rnacentral:ncRNA from 1 species